GCAAGUCGUGCGAGCAAGUAUCUUCGGAUAUGAGUAGAGCGGCGGACGGGUGAGUAACGCGUAGGAAUCUACCUAGUAGAAGGGGAUAGCUCGAGGUAACUCGGAUUAAUACCGUAUACCUCCUUCGGGUGAAAGAAGGCCUCUCAUUGAAGCUUUCGCUACUAGAUGAGCCUGCGUAAGAUUAGCUUGUUGGUGAGGUAAAGGCUCACCAAGGCAACGAUCUUUAGCGGGUCUGAGAGGACGAUC
rnacentral:rRNA from 1 species